rnacentral:rRNA from 1 species
AGGAACCUGCCUUGGAGUGGGGAAGUAACAGGUGGGAAACAUCUGCUAAUACCGCAUAAUAUGUCUGUGCCGCAUGGUACUGGACAUCAAAGAUUUAUCGCUCUGAGAUGGACUCGCGUCUGAUUAGCUAGUUGGUGGGGUAACGGCUCACCAAGGCGACGAUCAGUAGCCGGACUGAGAGGUUGGCCGGCCACAUUGGGACUGAGACACGGCCCAGACUCCUACGGAAGGCAGCAG